rnacentral:lncRNA from 10 species
GUGGAUUUUAGUGCAGUAAAGUGAAAAGUGAAGCUCUCCUGAGUUCAGGCCACCACUUCAAGCCCAGGACUUGCAACACUCCCUCGGGAGGGCCAGCUGAUGGUGUGGCUUUUCUCCAAACUGCACCAGAGUUCAUCCCUGAGAGUGAUCCUGGUGACCAUCUCAGACACCCAUGUCUGUGUUCACCCAGGCUCCUCCCCUGCCCCAUCCUUCAGUGCCCCUUGCUGACCAUGGUUCCGGGCAUCAGACAUCACAACUACUUCCUUCUGGAUCUCCAGGAGCCCUUCUUGCCUACCUGCUCCACCCAAUCAGAGCAGACUCAGGAGCAUCCAAGAGCUGCAGGAGCCUGUACGUCUUCAAAUAUCUCACCACCUAGUGGGACCCACAAACCGCCAUGCACUGUGAUGUGCAGCCUCAGGAAUAUGUGUCAUGCUCGCGUGCACUCAAAGCAGACUCUCUUCUCUGGACCUGAGAGGAUAAGCAAGUCUUUGAGGAGGAAAAUGAGCUCACAGGCAGACCUGGCUUGAACACAAAGCACCACUCCACUGCAUGGUCACAUGCUUGUACCACCUGCAUCUGUGAAAUGGGAUAAUACCUCCUCCUCUAGUCAUGGUGCAGAUGGCAUUUGUGAAGCACUUUGAACUUAUGUAUCUUAUAAAAGUUAUCCAUCUCUGUACUGAGUCCCAGAAAAAUAGUUGAGGUUGGUCUAAGUUCAUUUAUCCAUACAGUUACCAUUUCUUAGUCACUUACCCUGUGCUCAUGGAAGGGAAUGAAGUGAUGCGUGAGACACAUUCUCUGUCUUUUGUCUAAUGGAUGAAAACACAGCUCUCCCCAGGGGAGCGCAAUGGGUUCUGUCAUUAGGUAACUGAUGCCAAAGAUGAAAUGACUGUCAAUUAAAGUCUCCUUCUUCCUUCAACAUCUUUGCCAUCAAGAGUGGAGUGCAGGCAGCUUUCCAGCCCAUGCCAAAGGGGAAGGCAGGCAUCCCCACAACAACCAGACAUCAUGCUCUUGGCUGAGGAAAGAUUCUGCCUUCCAGGCCUGGGCCGGAGUGGGAUGCGAUUCCAGGAUUAUGGCAAGUAGCAAUAAAUUACAGUGCAAGCCUCAGCUGCCCUCCAUGCCUGAACCUGACUACAAGCCAGGCUUAGGAACACAGUUAAUAAAAAUUUUUUUAAAAAAAUAGAGCAGCCCUAUCCUCUUGCUUAAUCCCUCAGAACUGGAGAAGCUGUCUCCCAGGGCUUGACUUAUAGGCCCCUAGAGAGUUUGCUGCACCCCAGGACCAGCCCAGCAGCACACAGAGCACAGGAUAGAGGCGCCGUCUGCCCCGCGCAUACCUCCUGAUACCUGCAGAGGAGUCCACCAUACUCAGCCCUAAGGCAAGUAGGGAUUUGACAGCUCCAGGGAGGAUGCUCCGGCUCGCUUCUGGCUUUUAUAACUGGCCUCAGUGGGCGUAUUUCACACUUUCCUGCUUGGUCUUUAGAACUACGAUCGAUAAAAGGCUUUUGCAUACCUCUCUAGUGACUUCACAAUCUACAAAGGAAAAACAAAUUGUCAAAAUAAAAAGAAAAUCUUCAAAUUCCUUCACAAAUACAAACAGAACAUUUAAUAUCAAUGGAACAUGCUGAAGGUUAGAAAAAGUGGACAAAUCACACCUUGCCCUUCCCCUGAGGAAUCCCGCAAUCUGUGAGCGGUGGGGUGAAUGGAAACAGAACCAGGAUCUGUGGUCAAAGUCCAAAUUCACACAGAGUGCCUGGGAACCCCGUGGAAGCAAAGUCCCCAUUGGAUGCCAGCUCACCCCGACUUAUCCUGGAGUUUUCUGUCCUGAGUUUUCCAACUUCUGCAUGCAAUUUUCUCUCCCACGCCAGCAAGUAAGUAUUCACUCAGUUCACUGUUAUCUUUAAAGGAAUCUCCAGUGUGGAUCUGACUGAG